rnacentral:rRNA from 1 species
CUGGCCCUAAACGAUGACAACUAGCUUUUCGGAGUAUCGACCCUCUGAGAGGCGAAGCUAACGCGUUAAGUUGUCCGCCUGGGGAGUACGGCCGCAAGGCUAAAACUCAAAGGAAUAGACGGGGGCUCGCACAAGCGGUGGAUCAUGUGGUUUAAUUCGAUGCUAAACGAAAAACCUCACCGAGGUUAGAAAUGGAGACGAAUCUCAGAGGAAACUUUGAGAGCCUUCGGGCGGCUCCACAGGUGA